AUUGAACGCUGGCGGCAGGCCUAACACAUGCAAGUCGAACGGUAGCACAGAGAGCUUGCUCUCGGGUGACGAGUGGCGGACGGGUGAGUAACGGCUGGGAAACUGCCCGAUGGAGGGGGAUAACUACUGGAAACGGUAGCUAAUACCGCAUAACGUCGCAAGACCAAAGUGGGGGACCUUCGGGCCUCACACCAUCGGAUGUGCCCAGAUGGGAUUAGCCAGUAGGUGGGGUAAUGGCUCACCUAGGCGACGAUCCCUAGCUGGUCUGUGAGGAAGACAGGCGACACUGGAACUGGAACACGGUCCAGACUCCUAGGGCAGGCAGAGGUGGUGAAUAUUGCACAAUGGGCGCAAGCCUGAUGCAGCCAUGCCGCGUGUAUGAAGAAGGCCUUCGGGUUGUAAAGUACUUUCAGCGGGGAGGAAGGCGGUGAAGUUAAUAGCUUCACCGAUUGACGUUACCCGCAGAAGAAGCACCGGCUAACUCCGUGCCAGCAGCCGCCGUAA
rnacentral:rRNA from 1 species